rnacentral:ncRNA from 1 species
UUGAACGAGAGUUUGAUCCUGGCUCAGGAUGAACGCUGGCGGCGUGCCUAACACAUGCAAGUCGAGCGAAGCACUUUAAUUUGAUUCUUCGGAUGAGGAUUUUUGUGACUGAGCGGCGGACGGGUGAGUAACGCGUGGGCAACCUGCCUUACACAGGGGGAUAACAGUUAGAAAUGACUGCUAAUACCGCAUAAGACCACAGUACUGCAUGGUGCAGUGGUAAAAACUCCGGUGGUGUAAGAUGGGCCCGCGUCUGAUUAGGUAGUUGGCGGGGUAACGGCCCACCAAGCCGACGAUCAGUAGCCGACCUGAGAGGGUGACCGGCCACAUUGGGACUGAGACACGGCCCAGACUCCUACGGG